CCCUUAGAUGUCCUGGGCCGCACGCGUGCUACACUGACGCCUACAGCGAGUACUUCCCAGCCCCGAGAGGCGGCUGGUAAUCAGCAAUAGGCGUCGUGAUGGGGAUAGAUCUUUGGAAUUAUGGAUCUUGAACGAGGAAUGCCUAGUAAGCGCAGGUCAUUAGCCUGCGCUGAUUAAGUCCCUGCCCUUUGUACACACCGCCCGUCGCUCCUACCGAUUUCGAGUGGUCCGGUGAAUCUUUCGGACUGCGCGCGGCCUCGUGCCGUGUCGCGGAAAGUCAGGUAAACCUUAUCACUUAGAGGAAGGAGAAGUCGUAACA
rnacentral:rRNA from 1 species